rnacentral:rRNA from 1 species
UACGAAGGGGGCUAGCGUUGCUCGGAAUCACUGGGCGUAAAGGGUGCGUAGGCGGGUCUUUAAGUAAGGGGUGAAAUCCUGGAGCUCAACUCCAGAACUGCCUUUGAUACUGAAGAUCUUGAGUCCGGGAGAGGUGAGUGGAACUGCGAGUGUAGAGGUGAAAUUCGUAGAUAUUCGCAAGAACACCAGUGGCGAAGGCGGCUCACUGGCCCGAUACUGACGCUGAGGCACGAAAGCGUGGGGAGCAAACAGG